GUCUCGCCAUGCUGCUCCUGGGCCUGCUGCUGCUGCUGCCCCUGCUGGCUGGCGCCCGCCUGCUGUGGAACUGGUGGAAGCUCCGGAGCCUCCACCUCCCGCCUCUUGCCCCGGGCUUCUUGCACUUGCUGCAGCCCGACCUCCCAAUCUAUCUGCUUGGCCUGACUCAGAAAUUCGGGCCCAUCUACAGGCUCCACCUUGGGCUGCAAGAUGUGGUGGUGCUGAACUCCAAGAGGACCAUUGAGGAAGCCAUGGUCAAAAAGUGGGCAGACUUUGCUGGCAGACCUGAGCCACUUACCUCCCCCACCUCCUCCUGCAGACAAGCUGGUGUCUAGGAACUACCCGGACCUGUCCUUGGGAGACUACUCCCUGCUCUGGAAAGCCCACAAGAAGCUCACCCGCUCAGCCCUGCUGCUGGGCAUCCGUGACUCCAUGGAGCCAGUGGUGGAGCAGCUGACCCAGGAGUUCUGUGAGCGCAUGAGAGCCCAGCCCGGCACCCCUGUGGCCAUUGAGGAGGAAUUCUCUCUCCUCACCUGCAGCAUCAUCUGUUACCUCACCUUCGGAGACAAGAUCAAGGACGAC
rnacentral:sRNA from 1 species